UUCCUUCCUCUCCCUCUCCCUCACGCGGCAUAGAGCGCCGACCCUCGCUUCAUCUUCCCCUUCUUCUCCUCUUCGACUCCAUUGCCCGACGCCAUGCCAUCUCGACGCCAGCCGCUAGCCUCUCCCCAUCAGCGUCGAUCGUUAGCCACUGAUCAUCGACAUCUCCUCUCCUCUUUCCCCUUCCGAUCUCUCCUCUCCCGAUCCCAUCACUGUCACCUCGAUUCGCCGACUUCUCUUCUUCCUCAUCGCGAUCGCCACCCCAUCGCUCGGUCGUCAGCCCUCUUCCUCUGUGUGAGGCUAGGAUAAUGACACACCAAUCAUGGGAGAGUCGCUGACACUCUCCCUCUCGUGGGAUUCCUUUUUCCCCCCAGUAGAGGUUGCCGGUUUGCUUAGGGCUGGAGUGGAGAUGUCGCCGGUCGGGUGAGAGCGGUGAUCCCUUGCUGUGCCCUAGCCCUAGAUCCACAGCCGAGCUUCUCUUCUUCUCUUCAGCUAUGCCUAAGUCAACCAGCGUCGGCUGUGAAUGUGGGAAGAAGACAACCGACAAGAGAAGAAUACCUCCCUUCAUGGUAGCCUUGGAUCCUUCAUUGUGGGGCUUCUGAUAUGAAUUUGGGGUAGUCAUGUGGAGAUCAGCGACUUCACUUUGCUUCGACCACUGCUUUCGAAAACAACCUCCUCCAACAGCAGGUGAAGGGACUGUGCAACGGAUUUAUGACUUGGGUUCGAGGCGAGCGUCUCAAUGUGGGGGUUGUAUUUGGCACGAUCUACAUUUAAGGCGGGUACUUC